UUUCUUCCACUUUCUCAUUUUUUUCAUUUUCUCCUGUUAUUCCGUUUCUCUCUUUUCAGUGCAUUUCUUCAAGUCUCACACAGUUUCUCUUCAGAUUUCUUCAACUUAAAGCGCUUUAAGUUGUGGUUGGAUAAACAGUCCAUGAAAAAAGGGAUUAAAAGAAGGAAACAAUCAGCUUAAAAAGUGUAGUGUGGAGAAACAUUGUCUAUAUGGAAAAAUCAAAUGAUGUGGUUGAUGAAGUAGGAAUAAUGCUUUUAUAUGAAGGAGAAUGGGUACGAGAUGGAAAUGUUUUCUAUUUCGAAGGAAGUAAAGGUAAAGGCAUUGAGAUCUCGAAAACUAUAUCAUAUAAAGAGUU